UGAGUAACCUGCCCUUGACUCUGGGAUAAGCCUGGGAAACUGGGUCUAAUACUGGAUAUGCACCGUGGACCGCAUGGUUCUUGGUGGAAAGAUUUUAUUGGUCAAGGAUGGACUCGCGGCCUAUCAGCUUGUUGGUGAGGUAAUGGCUCACCAAGGCGACGACGGGUAGCCGGCCUGAGAGGGUGACCGGCCACACUGGGACUGAGACACGGCCCAGACUCCUACGGGAGGCAGCAGUGGGGAAUAUUGCACAAUGGGCGAAAGCCUGAUGCAGCGACGCCGCGUGAGGGAUGACGGCCUUCGGGUUGUAAACCUCUUUCAGUAGGGAAGAAGCGAAAGUGACGGUACCUGCAGAAGAAGCGCCGGCUAACUACGUGCCAGCAGCCGCGGUAAUACGUAGGGCGCAAGCGUUAUCCGGAAUUAUUGGGCGUAAAGAGCUCGUAGGCGGUUUGUCGCGUCUAUCGUGAAAGUCCGAGGCUCAACCUCGGAUCUGCGGUGGGUACGGGCAGACUAGAGUGAUGUAGGGGAGACUGGAAUUCCUGGUGUAGCGGUGAA
rnacentral:rRNA from 1 species